rnacentral:rRNA from 1 species
UACGGAGGGUGCAAGCGUUAAUCGGAAUUACUGGGCGUAAAGCGUGCGUAGACGGUAGCGUAAGUCGGGUGUGAAAGCCCCGGGCUCAACCUGGGAAUUGCAUUCGAGACUGCUCUGCUAGGGUGCGGAAGAGGGAAGCGGAAUUUCCGGUGUAGCGGUGAAAUGCGUAGAUAUCGGAAGGAACACCAGUGGCGAAAGCGGCUUCCUGGUCCAGCACCGACGUUCAGGCACGAAAGCGUGGGGAGCAAACAGG